GAAGGAUUGUACGGUGUACAUGUCCAACUGGCAGGUGUCAUCUGACCUUGACCUCAUUUUGAUGGUUCAGUGGUUAUAGUUAAAUUUUUGUGUUUUGGUCUGUUUUUCUCAUACUAUAUGCAAUAGGUCUACUAUAUUUGUUGUAUGGAAUGAUUGUAAGGUGUACCUAUCUAGCGGGCAUAUGUCAUGUGACCUUGACCUCAUUUUCAUGGUUCAGUGGUCAAAGUUAAGUUUUUGAGUUUUGGUCUUUUUAUCUAAUACUAUAUGCCAUAGGUCAUCUAUAUUUGGUGUAUGGAAAUAUUUUAUUAUCUUUAUGUCAGUCGCGCAGGUUUUAUUUGAC
rnacentral:lncRNA from 1 species